UAGGGAAUCUUCGGCAAUGGGGGCAACCCUGACCGAGCAACGCCGCGUGAGUGAAGAAGGUUUUCGGAUCGUAAAGCUCUGUUGUAAGUCAAGAACGGGUGUGAGAGUGGAAAGUUCACACUGUGACGGUAGCUUACCAGAAAGGGACGGCUAACUACGUGCCAGCAGCCGCGGUAAUACGUAGGUCCCGAGCGUUGUCCGGAUUUAUUGGGCGUAAAGCGAGCGCAGGCGGUUUGAUAAGUCUGAAGUUAAAGGCUGUGGCUCAACCAUAGUUCGCUUUGGAAACUGUCAAACUUGAGUGCAGAAGGGGAGAGUGGAAUUCCAUGUGUAGCGGUGAAAUGCGUAGAUAUAUGGAGGAACACCGGUGGCGAAAGCGGCUCUCUGGUCUGUAACUGACGCUGAGGCUCGAAAGCGCGGGGAGCGAACAGGAUUAGAUACCCUGGUAGUCCACGCCGUAAACGAUGAGUGCUAGGUGUUGGAUCCUUUCCGGGAUUCAGUGCCGCAGCUAACGCAUUAAGCACUCCGCCUGGGGAGUACGACCGCAAGGUUGAAAC
rnacentral:rRNA from 1 species